GCUUUUAGCUCAGUGGUUAGAGCUUUCAUCUCCCAUGUCAAGGGGACGGGUUCGAGGCCCGUGAGCG
rnacentral:tRNA from 1 species